rnacentral:rRNA from 1 species
UACGUAGGAGGCAAGCGUUGUCCGGAAUUACUGGGCGUAAAGCGCGUGUAGGCGGUCUCGCAAGUCGGAUGUGAAAGCCCAGGGCUCAACCCUGGAAGUGCCACUCGAUACUGCGAGGCUAGAGUCCCGGAGAGGAUGGUGGAACUCUCGGUGUAGAGGUGAAAUUCGUAGAUAUCGAGAAGAACACCGGUGGCGAAGGCGGCGCCGUGGUCCUUUUACUGGACGC